GAUGAAGAACGUAGCGAAAUGCGAUAAGUAGUGUGAAUUGCAGAAUUCAGUGAAUCAUCGAAUCUUUGAACGCACAUUGCGCCCCUUGGUAUUCCAUGGGGCAUGCCUGUUCGAGCGUCAUUUGUACCUUCAAGCUCUGCUUGGUGUUGGGUGUUUGUCUCGCCUUUGCGUGUAGACUCGCCUUAAAACAAUUGGCAGCCGGCGUAUUGAUUUCGGAGCGCAGUACAUCUCGCGCUUUGCACUCAUAACGACGACGUCCAAAAAGUACUUUUUACACUCUUGACCUCGGAUCAGGUAGGGAUACCCGCUGAACUUAAGCAUAUCAUAAGCGGAGGA
rnacentral:misc_RNA from 1 species